UAGGUUUUUUUUUUUUUUUUUUUUUUUUUUUUUUUUUUUAAAAGUUUUUUUUGUGUCUUUUCUUUUUUUAAUUUGAUUUUUUUUAAUUUAGUUAAUUGUACUGUGAUGGAUAAUUAAAUUUUAGUUUAGAAUAAUAAUUUUUUUUAGUACCUUUUGUAUCAGGGUUUAUUAAUUUAUUUGAUUUAUUUUUUUUUCCCGAAUAAAAAAGAUUUACCUUUAAUUGUAUUUUACUGUUGUAUAAUUAUUUAUAAAUUUUAGGUUGUUUUGAAAUGAAAAUCGUUUUUUUUUAUAUCUGGUUAUCUGGGAAUUUGAUUUAAUCAAGAAUUUCUUUUUGUUUUUUUAUUGUUAUAUUUCAUUUUGAUUUUUAAUACUAAGGUGGAUAAGCUCUUUUUUUUUAUAUAAUUUUUUAUUAGUUUUUUUUUUUGUUGGAUUAAUAUCUUUCAUCAUUUAAAGUUCGUUAAAGAUUAAAAUUUUAUUUUUUUAUUAUUUAUGUUUUUACUGGAUUUUGAUUAAUUUUUUUAAUUUUAAUAAUGAUAGAAUUAGUAGAUUUAAAAAUUUUUUUUAUGAAUUAGGCAAAAAUUAAUUCCGCCUGUUUAUCAAAAACAUGUUCUACAGGUUUAUGUUGUAGAUUUGACCUGCUCAAUGAUUUUAAAUAGCCGCAGUAUUUUGACUGUGCUAAGGUAGCAUAAUAAUUAGUCUUUUAAUUGAGGUCUAGAAUGAAUGGUUGGACGAGAAUUAAACUUUAUUUUAUUUAUUUUAUUUGAAUUUUAUUUUUAAGUUAAAAAGCUUAAUUGUUGAAGUGGGACGAUAAGACCCUAUAGAUCUUUACUUUAUUUCAUUUUUUUUAUUUUUAGUUAAUUUUUUAAUUUUUUUGAAAUUAAGUUUUGUUGGGGUGACAAUUAAAAUUUUAAUCUUUAUUUUUUAUUUACAUUUUAAAUGGUUUUUUGAUCCUUUUUUUUGAUUUUAAGAUUAAGAUACCUUAGGGAUAACAGCGUUAUAAGUCUGGAGAGUUCUUAUUGAUAGAUUUGUUUGCGACCUCGAUGUUGGAUUAAAAAUUUCUGUGGGGUAGGUUUUACAGUUUAAGGUCUGUUCGACCUUUAAAAUUUUACAUGAUCUGAGUUCAAGCCGGCGUGAGCCAGGUUGGUUUCUAUCUUCUUUAAAUUUAUUCUAAUUGGUACGAAAGGAUUUUUAGUAAUAUAAUAAUUUAUUU
rnacentral:rRNA from 1 species